AUACGGAGGGUGCAAGCGUUACUCGGAAUCACUGGGCGUAAAGCGCGCGCAGGCGGCUUGGUAAGUUGGAUGUGAAAGCCUACGGCUCAACCGUAGAACUGCAUCCAAAACUGUCAAGCUAGAGUGUGGGAGAGGAAGAUGGAAUUAGUUGUGUAGGGGUAAAAUCCGUAGAGAUAACUAGGAAUACCAAAAGCGAAGGCAAUCUUCUGGAACACUACUGACGCUGAGGCGCGAAAGCGUGGGGAGCAAACAGGAUUAGAAACCCUAGUAGUCC
rnacentral:rRNA from 1 species